GGGGCCGUAGCUCAGUUGGUCAGAGCGCACGGUUCACAUCCGUGAGGUCACAGGUUCGAGCCCUGUCGGCCCCACCA
rnacentral:tRNA from 1 species